GACGAACCGUGCAAACGUUAUUCGGAAUCACUGGGCAUAAAGGGCGCGUAGGCGGCUUGACAAGUCAGGGGUGAAAUCCGGCAGCUUAACUGUCGCAGUGCCUUUGAUACUGUCGAGCUCGAGGGAGGUAGGGGUCUGUGGAACUUCCGGUGGAGCGGUGAAAUGCGUUGAUAUCGGAAGGAACGCCGGUGGCGAAAGCGACGGACUGGAUCUCUUCUGACGCUGAGGUGCGAAAGCGUGGGGAGCAAACAGG
rnacentral:rRNA from 1 species